rnacentral:rRNA from 1 species
UACGUAGGGCGCAAGCGUUGUCCGGAUUUAUUGGGCGUAAAGAGCGUGUAGGCGGCCAGGUAGGUCUGCUGUGAAAACUCGAGGCUUAACCUCGAGAUGUCGGCGGAAACCAUCUGGCUAGAGUCCGGAAGAGGAGAGUGGAAUUCCUGGUGUAGCGGUGGAAUGCGCAGAUAUCAGGAGGAACACCAACGGCGAAGGCAGCUCGCUGGGACGGUACUGACGCUAAGGCGCGAAAGCGUGGGGAGCGAACAGG